UACAGAGGUCUCAAGCGUUGUUCGGAUUCAUUGGGCGUAAAGGGUGCGUAGGUGGCGCCGUAAGUCAGGUGUGAAAUUUCGGAGCUUAACUCCGAAACUGCAUUUGAUACUGCGGUGCUUGAGGACUGGAGAGGAGACUGGAAUUUACGGUGUAGCAGUGAAAUGCGUAGAUAUCGUAAGGAAGACCAGUGGCGAAGGCGAGUCUCUGGACAGUUACUGACGCUGAGGCACGAAGGCCAGGGGAGCAAACGGG
rnacentral:rRNA from 1 species